rnacentral:rRNA from 1 species
CCUACGGGAGGCAGCAGUGGGGAAUUUUGGACAAUGGGCGCAAGCCUGAUCCAGCAAUGCCGCGUGAGUGAAGAAGGCCUUCGGGUUGUAAAGCUCUUUUGUCAGGGAAGAAACGGCUGAGGCUAAUACCUUUGGCUAAUGACGGUACCUGAAGAAUAAGCACCGGCUAACUACGUGCCAGCAGCCGCGGUAAUACGUAGGGUGCAAGCGUUAAUCGGAAUUACUGGGCGUAAAGCGUGCGCAGGCGGUUUUGUAAGUCUGACGUGAAAUCCCCGGGCUCAACCUGGGAAUUGCGUUGGAGACUGCAAGGCUGGAGUCUGGCAGAGGGGGGUAGAAUUCCACGUGUAGCAGUGAAAUGCGUAGAGAUGUGGAGGAACACCGAUGGCGAAGGCAGCCCCCUGGGUCAAGACUGACGCUCAUGCACGAAAGCGUGGGGAGCAAACAGGAUUAGAUACCCUGGUAGUCCACGCCCUAAACGAUGUCUACUAGUUGUCGGGUCUUAAUUGACUUGGUAACGCAGCUAACGCGUGAAGUGACCGCCUGGGGAGUAACGGUGCAAGNUUAAACUUCAAAUGAAUUGACCGGNNGAGAGNGCGAGGACGACGACGAGGGAGGAGG